rnacentral:lncRNA from 1 species
CGUCCCGUUCAGCGGCCGCGCGGCCGACAGCGAGCUGUACUGGGGCUCGCGGCCGCCCAUGGCCGCCAGGCUACUGCCGCCGCCGCUCACGCCUCCCGCGCCCCCACUGCCCGCCGCCGCGUAGCCUCCCGGCUCCCGCGCGGCGCCGUUGGCCAUGGGCGGGCUGGGAGAGUAGGGGAAGCGCGCCGAGACGUGCGCCGCGGCUGAGCCAGCGCCGCCAGGCCCCGCGGCCCCGCCGCCAGCCGCGCCGCCUCCGCUGCCGUAUGGAGGGCUGUCGGCCGAGGCCUGAGGCCAGCCGGGGUGCGCGCCCGCGCCGCCCGCGUGGUUGGCUGGCCCACUGCCCGACCCCUGCAGGUGGUACGGUAGGCCGGGCAGCAUGGAACCCACGCGGGUGGUGGGCACGUAGACCGGGGAGCUGGCCGCCGCCGCGGCUGCUGCCGCCGCGGCCGCAGAGUGCACGAAGCCGCCGGGCGCGCCGUCGUAGGCGGCCGGACCCUGGCUGGAGAGAGCGGCGAGGGUCUGGUACAUCUCCUCCGGCUGCUCGGGUGCGAAGGGGCUCAGCUUGGCGCCGCGGCUGGACCACAGCAGCUUGCUGGCGGUCGCGGCUUGGUCGAGGUCAGUGAACAGCAGCAAGUCCUCCCAGCUCGACAGGUUGCCCCCGGGGCCCGCGACCCCAGGCGCCGAAGGUCCGUGGGGAGCCCCGAAGGGAUGCGAAGCGUAGGAACUGAGCAGCAGCGAGCGGGCCGGGGGUCCGGCCGCCGCCUCCGUGUCGAGCUGAGGCGUCCCGCAGUUGCUGGCGCCGCCGGGGCCCCGCUCUCCGCCCCGGGAGCAGGAGGAGGACGAGGAAGAGAUGGGGGAAGGCGGCGUGGAGGGCUCCCGCGCUGGAAAGGCUCUGGAGUCGCUGGCGUCCGCACCCGCGGCCCCGAAGCGCUUCGGCAAGCACCAGCCGCCGUCAGUCAAGGCCAUCCACGGUCCGGCGCCGCUCCAAGCUGACGUCUAGCUCCUGAGGUGGGGUGGGGGAGACGGGUAUGGUAGGAGAUCGACGGGUUAACAAGAGCGUAGGCUGCACGCUACCUCGCCUCCACUCCUUUUUCUAGUUCAAAUGGGAUCUGACUUCUCAAAGAUCCCAUUUGAGACUUCUCAAAGAUCCUAUUUCUGCCCCGGGCGUGGAGAUCAAUAAGGGAGGGGAAGGGAGCCUGCGCAGCCGCCACAGGGCCCUGGAAGGGCUGGGAUACCAGCCCUCCCUCAAAGGCACCGCUCCGGUCCCCGCGUCCUCCCCGCCCACCCCCUCGGCCGCAUCCUUUCUCCGUGCGCGCGCCAGAUCCCAGGGGUGAUCUGCAGAAGCUGGCUGAGGCUUUCCUUCCGCCCUAAAGUGUCUCCCCCGGGCUGAUGACACACAAAAGAAUUUAAGUAGCUGUGCGUGUCGGCACCGCCGCAUCCCGCCUCUCUGCGGAUGCCCCUCUCCCGAAAUGCCUCGGGGUGAGGGUUCCCCACGGGAAAACCCUUCGCGUAAGGAAGGCAACCUGUCCCCGAAAACGAAACCGCCGCGUUCUCCUAUAUUGGCUCUCCCAGAGCUUCCCGGACUGCGCUGACCAGCCCGAACGCGAGCCCCAGAGAGAAAUGCAACUCGGCCCAGGGAAAGUGGGACGCCAGGGCGGGGGCAGCAGUCUGGGUCCUUCCCAGCAGAGGCAAUGCGGAGAGCUUGUGGGGCGGGAAUCGCCAGCCCCACCGGCGUCCCCGCGGCGCCGCACACCUUAGACACGGCCCGCGCCUGCAGCCACCAGCGUGCGCGCUCACGCCGGCCGGGCCACCCGGCCCACCCCGCGGUCAUCUCCAGCAGCAGAAACGCCGGACCGUUCCGGAAUCGGACGUAGCGGGGUGGAGCGGAGAGCAGAGAAAAGGAGGGGGAACGCAACGGGCUGGGGAGGGGGGAGCGUGAGACCGCCCCAGAGCCGAGGCGACCCCAAAUGGGAGAGCAGGAAGAAUGACAGGGAGACUCGGAGCGAGUGGGGGAGGGAGGUGAAAUGCAGCCGGGCUGGCCUCCUCCAGGCUGCUCUUCCAAAUCGCCUCGGCUCAUCGGAGAUUACCACACUAAAAUUAAUGCCCACACACAGACCUGGCUAGAUAGCAAGAAAGAAGUUUCUCUGCCUGCCUAACUACCGGCUCCCGCCCCUUUGCGCCGAGAUAACUCGGAGAUAAGGCUGCGCGCAGAUAAGCGCUUCGAGGAGAGAAAAAGAGACUAGAAGUUGGUCCGCGGUGUCCCGGGAGCCUGGGAGCCGCCUCAGCCCGCCCGGAGGGAAGGAGGGAAACACCGUCGGAGCCGACCGCGGCCUGGAGAGGGCCGGAGAGCCGGAGGCCAGGGGCCCGCGACGAGUAGGGGUGGAGGGGAGGAAAGCGGGGAGAUCGCGCGAGGAGGAAGCAGCCGAACCUCGGGCGGGCGCUGCGCAUGGAGAACGGCCGCGGCGGAGGGUGCUCCCAGGCGCGGAGAGAAGCCGAGGGCGCCAGCGGGCGAGCGCGAGUCCGGGGUCUGCGCCGCGCUGCUGGUGAAUAAAAAGGAGAGAGGAGGCGCCUCUUACUGCUCUGCCGGAAAACUGCAGCCUGGGCUCCUGAUUGGACUCACCGAGCCCUAAACAAACAGCGCUCGCCGAAGGGUGCCAGGCUGUGGGUCGGAACUGCGCUCAGCGAGCAGCUGGGCGCUGGAGAAAGGAUUUCUUCCGACAGACGUGACCCCAGAAGGCUGCCGAGGGAGACUUUAGGACAAGAGGCGUUGUUUUUUUAGGGAAGGAAGAGGAGCCUGUGCAGAGUUGAACUGGGGUGGAGAGGUGCCUUGUAAAGUAUGGUUUCCAGAGAUGGUGAGACCUCGUAGCUAAGCGUUGUUUCCUCUGCACGUAACUGUGAGUUGUGAACUUGUGGCUCCUGGGGGAGCGGGACAGGGCCUGGCAGUGCGGGGGAGGGGGCAAGGAAUUCAGGAAGUUGGCGAGAAUUCUUCGUUUUUCAUUCUUCGUUGUAAAUUGCUUCUAAACACUUCUGAAUUUUAAAUUGCUACCGAGAAGGUCCAGAAACCGUUCUCAUCCAAUUUAGUCACUUUUAUUACGUUCCACUUUGCCUCCCCCAAUCACUGCGGCGGCUCCCAGUUUCAGCGUGGCCGCAUUUGGAAAAGGCUGAAGGUAGAAAACUCUGGAAUGGAGAGGCUGGCGACUGGAGCAGGAUCCAGGGGCUUUAAAUUUUAACCUGAAUGCGAUCGAAUGCGCGACUCCCAGAAGAGAUAGCCAGGCGUCCGCCCGGCCGCUCAACCCCCGCCAGGACUCGGAAUGCCUUGCUUUUGGUUCUUUUCUACAAGGAUGUCUGCGUGGAUAUCCCUGGACACUCGAUACCCCCCGGGGACCUGCUUUUCCCGCAGCUCCGCAGACGCGGCGGGAGGGCGCGCUGGCCCCGGCGCUGCUGGGACAGAGGUGAGCAGCGGGGUGGACAUUGACCGAUUCGACAACGUUCGGGCUCUAAGGGCUCGGGAAGGGACCCGGCAUUUUACCCUCCAGAUUCCCAAUCUAUUUUUAAAAAUAAUGUUCAAAACAUAUGGGAAAAAUAAGUGAUUGCUCCUUUUCAUGGUCACAGAUUGUAUUUAUUUUUUCAGACUGGUUUUCCAACCUAACGAGGGAAUGGGUAGUGAAUGUUGUUGUUGUUGUUGUUGUUUAUGUUGGUUAAUUUCGAAAUAAAACUGUUUAACUCGUACAGUUGAUUCAGACAGAAAACCAGGCUGCCUGACGUCUCCAAUGUGCCUUUUCCCCAAUGCAUCUUUGGCGCUAGGGACCGCUCUGGGGAAGACAAGCAUGUUUUCAAAGCCACUCCCAUGAGCCCCAGACCCGCGCGUGGAGCUUCCUGGGCGCGCCCCAGCUGGUCUGGAAGGCCGGCAAAUUAGGAAGUUUGGAGGGAAGAGGUG